GGGGGGGGGAGGUGAAUGAUAAUAUUAAACAAUUUUAUUUUUAUUAUUAAGGUAUAGAUGUACAUGUACAUCAUAACAGAGACAUGUGUAUAUAUGUCUCUGAUCAUAAUGAUCAUUAUUUGCGUAUAAAGACUCUAGAAAUUAAACGAUACUGAAUAGUUCCCUGACAUAGACGGUACAGUUUUCGGGAUAGUGUCUCGAUUUCAUUUAUUCUUUAUGGAAAAC
rnacentral:lncRNA from 1 species